rnacentral:rRNA from 1 species
GGUGCUUGCACCGAGCGGAUGAGUUGCGAACGGGUGAGUAACGCGUAGGUAACCUGCCUCUUAGCGGGGGAUAACUAUUGGAAACGAUAGCUAAUACCGCAUAAAAGUCGACAUCGCAUGAUGUUGACUUGAAAGGUGCAAAUGCAUCACUAAGAGAUGGACCUGCGUUGUAUUAGCUAGUUGGUGAGGUAACGGCUCACCAAGGCGACGAUACAUAGCCGACCUGAGAGGGUGAUCGGCCACACUGGGACUGAGACACGGCCCAGACUCCUACGGGAGGCAGCAGUAGGGAAUCUUCGGCAAUGGGGGCAACCCUGACCGAGCAACGCCGCGUGAGUGAAGAAGGUUUUCGGAUCGUAAAGCUCUGUUGUAAGAGAAGAACGAGUGUGAGAGUGGAAAGUUCACACUGUGACGGUAACUUACCAGAAAGGGACGGCUAACUACGUGCCAGCAGCCGCGGUAAUACGCAGGUCCCGAGCGUUAUCCGGAUUUAUUGGGCGUAAAGCGAGCGCAGGCGGUUAGAUAAGUCUGAAGUUAAAGGCUGUGGCUUAACCAUAGUACGCUUUGGAAACUGUUUAACUUGAGUGCAGAAGGGGAGAGUGGAAUUCCAUGUGUAGCGGUGAAAUGCGUAGAUAUAUGGAGGAACACCGGUGGCGA